rnacentral:rRNA from 1 species
CCCGACUGCUAUCGGAUUGAGAUUUAGCCAUGCGAGUCGAACGUCCCCCUGUUGCGGGGGGCGUGGCGUACGGCUCAGUAACACGUAGUCAACCUGCCCUGGAGACAUGGACAACCCCGGGAAACUGGGAUUAAUCCGUGAUAGGUCAUCUCAUCUGGAAGGAGAGAUGGCUUAAAGGGGUGUGCGGGCUUCUUCUGCACAUUCGCUCCAGGAUGGGACUGCGACCGAUCAGGCUGUUGGCGGGGUAAUGGCCCACCAAACCUGUAACCGGUACGGGCCUUGAGAGAGGUGGCCCGGAGAUGGACACUGAGAGAAGGGUCCAGGUCCUACGGGGCGCAGCAGGCGCGAAACCUUCGCAAUGCGCGAAAGCGUGACGAGGUUAAUCCGAGUGGCCCCGCUGAGGGGGUCUUUUGUCAGCUGUUAAUAGGCGGGCGAAUAAAGGGAGGGCAAGCCUGGUGUCAGCCG